rnacentral:rRNA from 1 species
GGCUCAGCCGAACGGCGAGGCCGAUGGCAGAACCGGUUAAUAUUCCGGUACUACCCUUUGGGGUGACGUGGAGACGCAGUCGUGACAAUGCCGCCAGCUGACGGAAUAGCUGGUUAAAGGGUGUAGAAGUUGAUUGUGGCAGGCAAAUCCACCACAAGAUUCGAACCUGACAGUAUGGAGCGUCCUUCCGGACAAUCCAACAGUGCAUGUAAUCAUACUGCCAAGAAAAUCCGCUAAACAUAACCUUCAGGGUACCCGUACCGCAAACGGACACACGUAGUCGGGUUGAAUAUACUAAGGCGCUUGAGUGAUUCACGGUUAAGGAACUAGGCAAAUUAACCCUGUAACUUCGGGAAAAAGGGUCCCUACCCGUUAUCGGGAGGGCGCAGAGAAUCGGUCCAGGCAACUGUUUAACAAAAACACAGGGCUGUGCGAAGUCGAAAGACGCUGUAUACAGCCUGACACCUGCCCGGUGCUGGAAGGUUAAGAGGAGAUGUCAUCGCAAGAGAAGCAUUGAAUUGAAGCCCCAGUAAACGGCGGCCGUAACUAUAACGGUCCUAAGGUAGCGAAAUUCCUUGUCGGGUAAGUUCCGACCUGCACGAAUGGUGUAAUGAUCUGGACACUGUCUCAACCGUGAGCUCAGUGAAAUUGUAGUAUCGGUGAAGAUGCCGAUUACCCGCGAUGGGACGAAAAGACCCCGUGAACCUUUACUAUAGCUUAUCAUUGAAUUUGGGCACGUGAUGUGUAGGAUAGGUCGGAGGCUUUGAAGCAGGCACGCCAGUGUUUGUGGAGCCGCUGUUGAAAUACGACCCUUCAUUUGUUUGAGUUCUAACUCGUAAUACGAGGACACUGAUUGGUGGGUAGUUUGACUGGGGUGGUCGCCUCCAAAAGUGUAACGGAGGCUUCUAAAGGUGCCCUCAGGACGAUUGGUAACCGUCCGUAGAGUGUAAUGGCAUAAGGGCGCUUGACUGGGAGACAGACAAGUCGAUCAGGUAGGAAACUAGAGCAUAGUGAUCCGGUGUUUCCGCAUGGAAGGGACAUCGCUCAAAGGAUAAAAGGUACUCCGGGGAUAACAGGCUGAUC